rnacentral:lncRNA from 1 species
UGAUAAGUAACUUCAAGAUAUGUAAAAGUCAUAUUUUCAAAAUAUGUUUUCUCCCUUAGUUUUACUAAAUUUGACUAUGUUUUUCAACACAAACUUGUAAGACAAUGUGAUAUGCUUUGACUAGUUAUUAUUGUUUGUUUCCAUCUCUUAAGUAUUAUUGUUAUAGACACCAAUGAUGAUUAUUGUUAUGAGUUGGAAGAAGGGUUAAAAUGCUUCUUAAAAUGUUGUAUCAAUAUGAGGCUACCAACAUUCUUGUUUAUUAAGAUGAGAAGAAGGCCAUUGGAGUUUAUUAUUGCAUAUGGGAGAUCCAAAGAUAAGAAAAAGGCUAUUGAUGUAUAUUAUUUCAUUGAUUUGUAAAUGUGUAAACACAUUGUUAGCACAUAUAUUACAUCUUGAACUCCAUUUGAUAUGGAAGAAGACUUCGUCAGAACACUUCUUGGAAGUCGUCUGGAAGACUUCCUGGAAGUCGUCUAGCGUAUUAUAUUUUAGACGACUAACAGGUAAGUCGUCCCAGAAGUCUUUCAGAUCUGAAAAACCUGCAU